GAUAAGGAGCUUGCUCCUUUGACGUUAGCGGCGGACGGGUGAGUAACACGUGGGUAACCUACCUAUAAGACUGGAAUAACUCCGGGAAACCGGGGCUAAUGCCGGAUAACAUAUAGAACCGCAUGGUUCUAUAGUGAAAGAUGGUUUUGCUAUCACUUAUAGAUGGACCCGCGCCGUAUUAGCUAGUUGGUAAGGUAAUGGCUUACCAAGGCGACGAUACGUAGCCGACCUGAGAGGGUGAUCGGCCACACUGGAACUGAGACACGGUCCAGACUCCUACGGGAGGCAGCAGUAGGGAAUCUUCCGCAAUGGGCGAAAGCCUGACGGAGCAACGCCGCGUGAGUGAUGAAGGGUUUCGGCUCGUAAAACUCUGUUAUUAGGGAAGAACAUAUGUGUAAGUAACUGUGCACAUCUUGACGGUACCUAAUCAGAAAGCCACGGCUAACUACGUGCCAGCAGCCGCGGUAAUACGUAGGUGGCAAGCGUUAUCCGGAAUUAUUGGGCGUAAAGCGCGCGUAGGCGGUUUCUUAAGUCUGAUGUGAAAGCCCACGGCUCAACCGUGGAGGGUCAUUGGAAACUGGGAAACUUGAGUGCAGAAGAGGAAAGUGGAAUUCCAUGUGUAGCGGUGAAAUGCGCAGAGAUAUGGAGGAACACCAGUGGCGAAGGCGACUUUCUGGUCUGUAACUGACGCUGAUGUGCGAAAGCGUGGGGAUCAAACAGGAUUAGAUACCCUGGUAGUCCACGCCGUAAACGAUGAGUGCUAAGUGUUACGGGGUUUCCGCCCCUUAGUGCUGCAGCUAACGCAUUAAGCACUCCGCCUGGGGAGUACGACCGCAAGGUUGAAACUCAAGGAAUUGACGGGACCCGCACAAG
rnacentral:rRNA from 1 species